CCCUGGCGGCGGGCGCACUGCUCGCACGCUCGCCCUGGGGCUGCAGAUCGGCUUGCGGGACGGGGUCCCAGAGAGGCCGGUCCACGCGGCCCGCACGCGCGAGUGUUAGCUCUGCACACGACGGAAGGCGGAGGCGCGGGUGGCUGCCGUUUCACCUUAGAGGGAGGGAGGGAAACGUGUCCUGAUUUCUGCACCUAAGGUGCUGGAAACCUUACCCUUGCACUUCCACCGUUUCUUUCCUUGUCCUGAAAAGGUCUCUUUUACCCGCUUCACUUCGCUAUCUACACAGUUUGCACUUGCACUGACUCAGAUCUUGUCCUGUCUGGGUGAACUCGGCACCCACCUAGAACCUCCAGUGUGUGAAAGGGCCUACCUACCUCAUUGGGCCCCAACCUCCAGCCUCUUGUGAGAGUGACGACCAGCCCCAAAAUGGCUGCACACAAACAAGACCCUAAGGCAGUAUUUCAGCCCCUUUGAUUCACACACCACCUUUGCAUCGUUGGAAACACCUUUGACCAGCAAUGGAAAAUAAAGGGAACAUACUGCAGUUUCAAUUGUUGUGGGACUCAGGUUUUCUCUCAACACCGCAUACACACUUGGAGACAUGGGAAGAAGGUCUGAUGGAGAAUGUGGCUCUGUUGAAUCACUUCGGCUUAAAGAGAUAACAAGAGGGCAUGAAGUCAGGUGGCUGCAAGUCUGUGAGUGACAACUGUAGGAUAUUCUACAUGAUGGUGCCCAAAGAUUUAGUGCUAUAGAUGAAGAUUUUUAUGGAUUGUAUACACUUUCAUUAAAGAAACAGAAUGGUGAACGUACCUUAAAAUUGCAUAGUAAUUUAACAAAUUUUCUUUUAUGUAUUCAACAAAUAUUUACUGAAUCCCUCUUUUAGCCAGACAUUGCUCUAGGUCCUAGGAUACAACCAGGAAAGGUAGGCUGGGAGUGUGGGGGAGGGAGAGGAUGAAGCAGAGAUCCACAGGUCCCCUCCCUAGCAAAUGAACAAAUACCCUGAGUUGUAAGACUACAGUAAGGUUAAAAAUAUAAAACUUAUAAACCCUGGGGUUCCUUUGCAAUAUACAGACUUGUUUUACUAUUAAAAGCUUCUCAUCAUUACCCCCUCUUUCUUUUCCUUUCCCUCAGUCAUAGACAUGAAGCCUGCACCACUUCUGUCUUACAAAGGAGAAAACUGAAGCUCUCCAAGUGGCUAUGAGAGGCCCCCAUGGC
rnacentral:lncRNA from 1 species